rnacentral:lncRNA from 1 species
UUCAGUAAUAUAAUUUACCUUCACUGACUUGAGAAUUGGACUCCUACUAAGAGAAGAAAAUUAUCUUCACCUUUACAUUUGGAAGAACGAAAUUAGUUAACCAAGUUAAUAGAAAAAAACCUGCUUUUUAUCACUCGCCCAUAUCAAAGUCCAAGAGCUCAGCAUGUAUAAGGUUUUUUAUUAACACAGAACACGGUCUUUUUAAGUAAAGGAGAAAACCAUCUUGAACCAUCUUGACAAAGAUAAAAUUAUACUAAAAAAAAUUAGUACUGAGUUGUGGAUUUCUUAGCCAAAGUGGAAACAUGGGUGUGUUCUCUUUUACUUUUGUCACUGUGUUUGCGAUGGUGUUUUUUGUCUGCUGAGAUGGAUCUCCCUGGUCUACACAACUCAAAUUUCGUUACUGAAGGAGAAAGAAACCCACACAUUUAACCUAGAAGAGACCGAGAAGCCAGCUUAAAAUCCUUCAGCUUUGUAUGGAUCUGAGCUAUAGACACCAACAAGAGAAAGAGAUAAAAGAGAACCACCCUGGAGCACUGGCCGGAAGAGAUCUGCAGGACAUUUCACUUCUGGGGAAGCAGAAAGCCUCCAGUAUGAGCAUAACAGCAGUUACAAGACAUUUCUUCCAAGCUGACCCCACUGCCUGAUUACCAGGAUGGAAGGACAGAGAGCCCUGACCAUGGGCAUAGUAACAGAGCACCAGCAGCCUCUGGAGGCAAAGCCCUGAAACCAAAGCUGUGAUUAAAUCACAGUAUUAAGAUACUUCAAAGUCUGUGACAUCAGUAAAAAUUUAGUGCAUAAUGUACUUAUUAGUGCAUGUAUUUAUUUGAUCAAGUAGGAGACUGCAGAAUCUGCCAAGAUCUGGCAGGAAUGCAGUUCCCAGCACUAAAAAUAUGAUAAAUAAGGAAAUGUAUAUUGUAAAGUUUGAAUGACACCCAAAACAUUACUGUGAUUAGCCUAGACCUCAGAUACUCAGUUUUCUCUUCCAUGAACAAUCUCAUGCUAUAGUUGAGGAUAAAGAUUAAAGGAAGACUAAAUGUGUGUUGCUGGAAAAAAAUUAUAGGUCCAAAAAGAUGUAAAAAAUCUGUUUAGAAGACUAGCUUAAUGCUAGAUCACAUCUGAGCAAUCAGCAUUACCUACUCUUAGAACAGCUGCUGAAACAGGUGCAUGGGUUUCUCCCUUAUAAAUGUAGGCAAUCUCAAAUUUUUUGGGAAUUCAAAACUACUGGAUGCUGAGAAAAGUUAGACUGUCUUCAUAAUCAUAGAAUCGUAUCAUAGAAUCGUAGAAUGGCCUGG